UACGUAGGGAGCAAGCGUUGUCCGGAAUCAUUGGGCGUAAAGCGCGCGUAGGUGGCUUCGUAAGUCCGUUGUGAAAGUCAAAGGCUCAACCUUUGAAAGCCGAUGGAUACUGUGAAGCUAGAGUACGGAAGAGGCGAGUGGAAUUCCUGGUGUAGCGGUGGAAUGCGCAGAUAUCAGGAGGAACACCGGUGGCGAAGGCGGGUCUCUGGGCCGAAACUGACGCUGAGGAGCGAAAGCGUGGGGAGCGAACAGG
rnacentral:rRNA from 1 species